UACGAAGGGGGCUAGCGUUGUUCGGAAUUACUGGGCGUAAAGCGCACGUAGGCGGAUCGGUCAGUUAGGGGUGAAAUCCCAGAGCUCAACUCUGGAACUGCCUUUAAUACUGCCGAUCUCGAGUCCGGAAGAGGUGAGUGGAAUUCCGAGUGUAGAGGUGAAAUUCGUAGAUAUUCGCAAGAACACCAGUGGCGAAGGCGGCUCACUGGCCCGGUACUGACGCUGAGGUGCGAAAGCGUGGGGAGCAAACAGG
rnacentral:rRNA from 1 species